rnacentral:rRNA from 1 species
CAGGCCAGCAUCAGUUCGCCCCGGGGGAUAAAGGUUUCGGGAAUGUGGCUCCUCCGGGAGUGUUAUAGCCCGUUGCGUAAUACCCUGGGACGGACUGAGGUUCGCGCUCUGCAAGGAUGCUGGCGUAAUGGUCAUCAACGA